AUCAAUCUAAGACUGGUUCAUAUAGCUUGCUAUACUAGUUCUGAUGCAUUACAUCUUAGAUAAACCCAGUAUUAAUUUCUUUCAAUAUUUCUAUGUUUUAUCUUUUGCAAUAUGUGGGGGAUUGUUGUAAACAAGAAUCUAAUAUAGCAAAAUAAAAACGAAAAACAGAGUGUGUGAAACGAAAACAGAGUAAGUGGUAAAACCCUAGAUUUCUUCAGUGACCGUUGGAGGAGAUCGCGGAGGUUCAGCGAAGACCGGAUUUGCUCCGAGAUUAUCGCGCGACGUUGCCCCUUCCACCCAGAAUCGUAGCCGCACGACUGGGAACGCUCACGCCUUCGCUCUGCUGAUCGUGUGGAAUCUGGAGAACGUUGGAGAUUCGUGGGUGGUUGGCUCCUCCUUUCUCGUGGGUCUUCCUCCAACUCCGGCGACGGUCACGGCUCCGUUAGGGUUUGAAGAUGCGGUAACUUUGGGUUUUUUCAUCUAUAAAUACCACAUUCCAUCCUCUUGCUUCAAACAACCCUCACUCACGGUUCUUCAUCCUCUUGAAACCCUCUACCGUGCUUCUUCUCCUUCUUCUCCAUUCUUCACUUUUUCUUUUUCUUUCUCUCUCUUCAAUAUUUUAUUAUUAUAAUAAUUCUGGGUUUGAUUUGAGUAUUACUCAAAUAAAGAGAAACUUGCUAGUUCUGAUCCUCGGAAAUCUCCGGGAAGUUCCUGUUGUAUCCUGGGGGACUUGCGCAAUACAUCGCGGAUAAGUCCUUACGGACAGUG
rnacentral:lncRNA from 1 species